rnacentral:rRNA from 1 species
GAUGAACGCUGGCGGCGUGCUUAACACAUGCAAGUCGAACGAUGAAGCCCAGCUUGCUGGGUGGAUUAGUGGCGAACGGGUGAGUAACACGUGAGUAACCUGCCCUUAACUCUGGGAUAAGCCUGGGAAACUGGGUCUAAUACCGGAUAGGAGCGUCCACCGCAUGGUGGGUGUUGGAAAGAUUUAUCGGUUUUGGAUGGACUCGCGGCCUAUCAGCUUGUUGGUGAGGUAAUGGCUCACCAAGGCGACGACGGGUAGCCGGCCUGAGAGGGUGACCGGCCACACUGGGACUGAGACACGGCCCAGACUCCUACGGGAGGCAGCAGUGGGGAAUAUUGCACAAUGGGCGCAAGCCUGAUGCUGCGACGCCGCGUGAGGGAUGACGGCCUUCGGGUUGUAAACCUCUUUCAGUAGGGAAGAAGCGAAAGUGACGGUACCUGCAGAAGAAGCACCGGCUAACUACGUG